rnacentral:tRNA from 1 species
AGUAGAGUGGCUGAGAUUAAAUAGGUGGUAGAUUGUAAAUCUAUUAAGGGGUUGUGUUCCCCUCUACUA